CGGGAGUGGGGGGUGUUGUACACAAUCAUCAUGGCGGCGGCCGGAGCCCCGGAUGGCACGGAGGAACCUGGCGUGGACACGGAGGCCGAGACUGUGACGACCGAGGCCCCCGCGCGACCCCUGACCUGCGUGGAGGCCGAGGCCGCGGCGGGGGGGCGGCGGCCGAGGACUCUUGCGCGGCGCGAGGUAGCCUGCAGCCGGCGCCGGCCCAGCCCCCUGGGGACCCUGCGGCCCACGCCUCGGUCAGCAACGGCGAGGAUGCGGGCGGCGGCGCGGCCAGGGAGCCGGUGGACUUGAAGAUCAUCUGGAAUGAGACUAAACACGACGUGAAGUUCCCCCUCGACAGCACAGGCUCCGAACUAAAACAGAAGAUUCACUCGAUUACAGGUCUCCCUCCUGCCAUGCAGAAAGUCAUGGAUAAGGGACUCGUCCCUGAGGAUAAGACGUUGAGAGAAAUAAAAGCGAGCAGCGGAGCCAAGAUCAUGGUGGUCGGCUCCACGAUAAAUGAUGUUUUAGCCGUAAACACACCCAAAGAUGCUGCCCAGCAGGAUGCAAAGGCUGAAGAGAACAAGAAGGAACCCCUCUGCCGGCAGAAACAACACAGGAAAGUGUUGGAUAAAGGAAAACCCAAAGAUGUGAUGCCAUCUGUUAAGGGUGCCCAGGAGCGCCUACCAACGGUACCCUUGUCCGGCAUGUACAACAAAUCCGGAGGCAAAGUGAGACUCACCUUCAAGCUGGAACAAGAUCAGCUGUGGAUCGGCACUAAAGAGCGGACUGAGAAAUUGCCCAUGGGCUCCAUCAAAAAUGUGGUCAGUGAACCUAUCGAAGGACAUGAAGGCUACCACAUGAUGGCGUUUCAGCUGGGCCCCACGGAAGCCUCUUACUACUGGGUGUACUGGGUCCCAACUCAGUAUGUGGAUGCAGUCAAAGAUACUGUGCUGGGGAAGUGGCAGUAUUUUUGAAAGCACUUUCACCUCUGGCCCAGGAGACUGACCCAAAGCGAAGGACAUUGCUGGGAGAGGCCUGCAGCAUCCCUGGAUUUCAGAGUUCUGGGACUUUGUUCAAAAACAAA